UUAUAUCCUUUACUUGCUUGGUCAUCAGUCACUGUGUGUGUGUGUUGGGGGUGCCAAUUGAGAAGAAAGAACGUUCCUUUUUGUUUUGAUUUCUGCUUCUAUUGGUAUUGGUUUACAUAUGUAUUGCAUCCGCACAGGGGAUUGUUAAAAUGUUUAUAUUGAGUGGUACUUCUAAUUUGUAGUACUUGUCUGCUGAAUUGUACUAGUUUAGUCAGCAUUUAGGAAUGUAGCAAGUGCAUUGCUCAUGGUUUUUGAUACUGCUAGAAUUGAGUGGGAGUACCAGUUGUGAGUGGGUGUUCGAAGAUGAGUUCUGAGUUAAGGGUGUUGGUUGGUUGUUCACCAUUCAUCAAUAAAGAAGGCACCCAAAAGUAUGUGGGAGGUGGGUGGGAGUUGGCUAGGGGCAUUAAAGCCAAUAGUUUAUGUAGUAUGGUUGGUAAUGUGGUCCUUUUAUUUUUUAUGGAAGGUAUUUAGGGGAAUCAUAUACUUACCACUAUGUUGUGUUUUAGUGUUUAGAUCUCGCUAUAAAUUUGAGUGCAUAUGGCAUGAUGAUGUCAAGAACAAAGUUGAGGAUGUCCCUUGUGCUUGAGCUUUCUUUAUGCUUUUUCCCAUGGAGACAAAAGUUUCUUGAUUGCAUUCAUACAUAGACCGGAACAGAAUAAAUACCUCAUGUGAUGGAAGGCUACUUGAGGGAUCAUUUACUUACCACUCUGUUGUGUUUGAGUAUGUAGUUCUUGCUAUAAAUUUGAGUGCCUAUGGCAUGAUGAUGUUAAGAAGAAUGUUAUGGAUGUGCCUUAAAAACUGCAGGUUCACUUGGCAAACAUGAAACAAGGAGUUGGUUUCUGAAAGCGAAGAAAGAGGGAGAUCAGAAACUGAAAUCACAUCCAAAUACUGAAUUACUUGUUCUGUCUUCUUUUCUAAAAUCAACCUCUGUUGUCUUCCAAUUGCUAAUCAGCCAACUUUGUUAUUUUCUCCUCUAGGAUUUUCCAAGCACAAAAAAAAAAAAUUCCCUUGCUAGUUGAUAAAUAUUUUGGUUAUGGAAACUGUAAUUCCAGGAGCUUAAGUUGUUAGCUAAUAUUUUCUAUUAUGAAUAAGUUGGUUUCA